GACGAACGCUGGCGGCGUGCUUAACACAUGCAAGUCGAACGGAAAGGCCCUGCUUUUGUGGGGUGCUCGAGUGGCGAACGGGUGAGUAACACGUGAGUAACCUGCCCUUGACUUUGGGAUAACUUCAGGAAACUGGGGCUAAUACCGGAUAGGAGCUCCUGCUGCAUGGUGGGGGUUGGAAAGUUUCGGCGGUUGGGGAUGGACUCGCGGCUUAUCAGCUUGUUGGUGGGGUAGUGGCUUACCAAGGCUUUGACGGGUAGCCGGCCUGCGAGGGUGACCGGCCACAUUGGGACUGAGCUACGGCACAGACUCCUACGGGAGGCAGCAGUGGGGAAUAUUGCACAAUGGGCGGAAGCCUGAUGCAGCAACGCCGCGUGCGGGAUGACGGCCUUCGGGUUGUAAACCGCUUUCGCCUGUGACGAAGCGUGAGUGACGGUAAUGGGUAAAGAAGCACCGGCUAACUACGUG
rnacentral:rRNA from 1 species